rnacentral:tRNA from 1 species
GCCUGGGUGGCUCAGCUGGUUGAGCAUCAGACUCUUGGUUUCAGCUCAGAUCAUCAUCUCAGGGUCGUGGGAUCGAGCCCCGCAUCGGGCU